ACAAAAACAUAGUUUAAAGAAAAAAAUUUUAGAUAAAUUCUGCUCAAUGAGUAAGUUAAAUAGCUGCAGUAAAUUAACUGUACUAAGGUAGCAUAAUAAGUUGCUUUAUAAUUAAAAGCUUGAAUGAAAGAAAUAAUGUGAAAGAAGCUUUUUAAACUAAAAUAGUGAAAAUUAAUAUUUAAGUGAAAAAUCUUAAAUAGAAUCAAAAGACAAGAAGACCCUUUAGAACUUUACAAAUUGAUUUAAUAUCAUUUAGUUAAUUUGUUAAAUUGGGGAGAUUUUUAAAUAAAUAAAUCUUUAGAUAUAAAAAAAUGAUUUAAAUCAGAUUAAAUUAUCCAAAUGUGAAAUAAAACAAGUUACCUAAGGGAUAACAGCGCAAAAUUUUUGAGAAGUUCUCAUUUACAAAAUAAAUUGCGACCUCGAUGUUGGAUUAGCGAUCUAACUUAAAAAGCAAAAAUUGAGUAGAGUGCUGCCCUCCCCCCUACCUU
rnacentral:rRNA from 1 species